CCAUGUGCAUUAGUCAAUUGCAGUCGAUAUCAAAAGCAGAGAUUUAACCUUUUUCUUUUUCCUUUUGCAAGUUGCCGGUUGCAGGUUAGAAUCAACAGUAGAAAUGCUGUAUUAUGUACACAUGUUCUAGAUGGCAUGGCAGCGAUACAUGUUCUCCAGAACCAGCUCGCACCAAUGAGGGUACAAAUAAGAGAUGGUUAUCCCUAUCAGCAGGUGCGCAAUUGGCAUCGGCAGCCUACCCUAUCGCCGCUUGUGAAACCGG
rnacentral:lncRNA from 1 species